rnacentral:lncRNA from 1 species
GUUGGGGGGGCGGCGCCUGAGGAGGCUGGGGGGGAGUCUGAGGGGGAGGCAAGAGGAUGGGAGGACCCUCUUGUGUUUUGUGACGGGAGAGAAUGGAGGGACCACCCCGUCUUUUCUGAGGGGAGAACGAGGGGAUCCUCCUGUCAUCCAUGAGGAGAGAGAACGGGGGGACCCCCUGUGACUUCAGGGGAGAGAAAUGGGGGACCCCCUUGUGUUCUCUGAGGGGAGAGAAAUGAGUGACCCCCCCCCACUCGUAUACUUUUAGGAGAUAAUGGAGAAAUCUUAAUAUUUUCUUUAUAGAAAGAAUGGGGGAAUCUUUCUCUGUUCUGUGAUGGGAGAGGAGUGGGACCUUCCUGUGAUUUCUGAGGGGAAAAGGGACGGGAUCGUUCUGUGUUGGGUGAGGGGAGAGAAUGGGGGGACCCCCUGAGCUGUCUGAGGUGACGGGGGGUGCAGGAGGCCACUGCUCAGGUGUGGGGACAGGUGGCUGUUGGGACAGGUGGGAUGGGGGGUCUGAGGCGUCUCCCUGGGCAGGAAAGGUGGGGGAUCACCGCUGGGACAGGGUAGGGGGGCUCAGGGUCAGCCCCCAAGCAGAGCUGAGCAGGUGGAAAAGAGGAAAAGCAGCAGGAAAAGAGGAAAAGCAGCAGGAAAAGAGGAAAAGCAGCAGGAAAAGAACAUUGAGGAGCACAGCACCCACGUGGAGCCGGUUCCUGGAGCACUUCCCUUCCCCCCCGGAACCCCAAAUCCGUCCCGCCCCGAGCUCCUGGGGGGCAGCAGGAGUUUUUUGGGGGGCAGGCCUGGAGGACUCAAGUCUGCUGCUGCUUUCACACAGAGGCCUGGACCCGCCGGUGGGUGGAAUCCAAGCACAAACCCGACUACGGGCGCUUCGUCCUCACCGCCGGCAAAUUUUACGGCGACGCCGAGAAGGACAAAGGGAUCCAGACGAGCCAGGACGCCCGGUUCUACGCCCUCUCCUCGCGCUUCGAGCCCUUCAGCAACCGCGACAAGACGCUGGUGGUGCAGUUCACCGUCAAGCACGAGCAGAACAUCGACUGCGGCGGCGGCUACGUCAAGCUCUUCCCGGCCAGCCUGAGCCAGGAGGACAUGCACGGCGACUCCGAGUACAACAUCAUGUUUGGUGGGUGUUCCUCCUCUUCCUCGGCCCCCCUC